GACGAACGCUGGCGGCGUGCUUAACACAUGCAAGUCGAACGAAGUGGCGAACGGGUGAGUAACGCGUAAUCAACCUGCCCUUCAGAGGGGGACAACAGUUGGAAACGACUGCUAAUACCGCAUACUGAAGGAGGGGAUUGCGUCUGAUUAGCUAGUUGGAGGGGUAACGGCCCACCAAGGCGAUGAUCAGGAGCCGGUCUGAUGGGAUGAGCGGCCACAUUGGGACUGAGACACGGCCCCGUCUCCUACGGGAGGCAGCAGUGGGGAAUCUUCCACAAUGGACGAAAGUCUUACGCAGCAACGCCGCGUGAGUGAUGACGGCCUUCGGGUUGUAAAGCUCUGUUAAUCGUGACGCGGGACCGGAGAAGAAGCGCCGGCUAACUACGUGCCAGCAGCCGCGGUAAUAC
rnacentral:rRNA from 1 species